AUGAACGCUGGCGGCGUGCCUAAUACAUGCAAGUCGAGCGAACGGACGAGAAGCUUGCUUCUCUGAUGUUAGCGGCGGACGGGUGAGUAACACGUGGAUAACCUACCUAUAAGACUGGGAUAACUUCGGGAAACCGGAGCUAAUACCGGAUAAUAUUUUGAACCGCAUGGUUCAAAAGUGAAAGACGGUCUUGCUGUCACUUAUAGAUGGAUCCGCGCUGCAUUAGCUAGUUGGUAAGGUAACGGCUUACCAAGGCAACGAUGCAUAGCCGACCUGAGAGGGUAAUCAGCCACACAUGAACUGGGAGACGGUCCAGACGCCUACGGGAGGCAGCAGGAGGGAAUCUUCCGCAAUGGGCGAAAGCCUGACGGAGCAACGCCGCGUGAGUGACGAAGAUCUUCGGAUCGUAAAGCUCUGUUAUUAGGGAAGAACAUAUGUGUAAGUAACUGUGCACAUCUUGACGGUACCUAAUCAGAAAGCCACGGCUAACUACGU
rnacentral:rRNA from 1 species